CACGUAGGGCGCAAGCGUUGUCCGGAAUUAUUGGGCGUAAAGAGCUCGUAGGCGGUCUGUUACGUCUGCUGUGAAAACCCGGGGCUUAACCCUGGGCUUGCAGUGGAUACGGGCAGACUAGAGGCAGGUAGGGGAGAAUGGAAUUCCCGGUGUAGCGGUGAAAUGCGCAGAUAUCGGGAGGAACACCGGUGGCGAAGGCGGUUCUCUGGGCCUGUACUGACGCUGAGGAGCGAAAGCAUGGGGAGCGAACAGG
rnacentral:rRNA from 1 species